rnacentral:rRNA from 1 species
AUGACCAACAACGCCGCGUCGUGCCACUCGCAUCCAUGGAGGCUUGAACUUGGCAAGACGCCAACCAUGGCUGGAGACAGGGACCAGCCACUCCUGGUCGGAUCCGUCGGAAAAGGAGACAACCAAAAUUACUUGGAGUUGAUAACUAAUAUGUUUCCUUUAACUACCACGUGCACGACGAGGAUUUACGGCACGCAAGUGCAGGGGCAGAAAAAAAUGCUUGAAAUUGCAUCUUUGAAACUUGUUGAAACUGGGCAUUUUCUAAUGCAAAAGCGGGAUGUCGUCUUGAAACAACACAACAUAGCGCAUGCAAGCUCACAAGUAUUGCAACAAAGUAGUUACCAACUAUUGCAACAAUUAUGUUGUCAACGGUUGUGGCAGAUCCCCGAGCAGUCGCGGUGCCAGGCCAUCCACAAUGUCGUCCAUGCUAUUAUUCUGCAACAACAACAACAACAACAACAACAACAACAACAACAACAACAACAACAACAACAACAACAACAACCGUCGAGCCAGAUCUCCCUCCAGCAGCCUCAACAACAGUAUCCAUCAGGCCAGGGCUCCUUCCAGCCAUCUCAGCAAAACCCACAGGCCCAGGGCUCUGUCCAGCCUCAACAACUGCCCCAGUUCGAGGAAAUAAAGAACCUAGCGCUGCAGACGCUACCGGCAAUGUGCAAUUUCUACAUCCCUCCAUAUUGCUCGACCACCAUUGCGCCAUUUGGCAUCUUCGGUACUAACUGA